rnacentral:rRNA from 1 species
CCUACGGGAGGCAGCAGCAAGGAAUCUUCCGCAAUGGGCGAAAGCCUGACGGAGCAACGCCGCGUGUGGGAUGACGCCUUUCGGGGUGUAAACCACUUUUCUCAGGGAAGAAGCACUGACGGUACCUGAGGAAGAAGGACCGGCUAACUACGUGCCAGCAGCCGCGGUAAUACGUAGGGUCCGAGCGUUGUCCGGAGUUACUGGGCGUAAAGCGCGCGCAGGCGGCGGUGUAAGCAUGGCGUGAAAGCCCCUGGCUUAACCAGGGAGGGUCGUCGUGGACUGCACCGCUUGAGGGCGGUAGGGGCUGGUGGAAUGCCUGGUGUAGUGGUGAAAUGCGUAGAGAUCAGGCGGAACACCCGUGGCGAAGGCGGCCAGCUGGGCCGUCCCUGACGCUGAGGCGCGAAGGCGUGGGGAGCGAACGGGAUUAGAUACCCCGGUAGUCCACGCAGUAAACGAUGCAGACUAGGCGUGGGGGGAGUUGACCCCCUCCGUGCCGGAGCCAACGCGGGAAGUCUGCCGCCUGGGGAGUACGGCCGCAAGGCUAAAACUCAAAUGAAUUGACGG